UACUACUACAGUACAUAGUAUCUCUUUUUCUUAUACAGUACUCUACAAUAGCAUUUGAAUCUUCUUCUUUGAGUAAAAGGUGAUAGUCUUCAACCCAAACACUUGGAGAUAGAUUAAAGUUUUACAGCUAAGAUACAAAUUUCCUUAUAAUGGCAGCAAAGUAUGAUGAUUGAAUUGGCCAUGGGCCACACCAAAAUUGAGGUAUUAUCCAGAAGAAUAUGUUCACAGUUCAUGGCAGAGGCAGUGUCAUUUGUUUUGACAAAGACCCCAUAUGAGCAGCUCAAAAUAGGUGUCUUAUGUUGCAUCGAUAGAAGGAUUUCCAGUCUUGGACUGCUCUUCAAAAGUAUCAUAUUGAAGUUGACUUAGUCAAGAAAUAUAUAUCACAAAAGUAGUUGGAGAGCUUUAAAAGGACAAGGUACUUAAUUUGAUAUUGGAUCAAUUAUAUUUCUUAUAGCCAUGUUUAAUGAUACAAUAUCAGGUAAUUUUUGUAAUUUAGGAACAAAUAUUAGAGUUAAUUAAUGCCAUUAAGAUGAUGAAGUUAACAAAUAGUCUAUAAUACUCGUGCUUCGUUUACAAUAUCAAUUUUUUAUUUGAAAAUCUCAUGUAGGAUGAUGAAUAAUAUAAAAUGGUAUAUAAGUUGAAUUAAAUAUAUGGACAAAAAUUUUCAUCUUAGACAUUGAAGUAAAUACCUUAUUUAAUUUCGGAGAGAUGAAAUUUAGUUUUAUAGAGAUAGAAUUUGGAGACAUGAUACAUUUAAUGUAGACAGAAAUAUCUGUCUCUAUAGAGACAUAAAUGAAUUUUUACUGGUUAGUUGGGAGAGAUGGAAGUUAUUAUCUGGCGACAGACAAAUUUCGUCCCCAAAUUUAGAAGGAAAUAAAAAAUUCGUUGCUGACACAUUAAAACAAUAUGUUAAGUAGGGAUCAUUUUUGUGUCUGAGUUCUUCUUCAAAUAUGUUGGAAACAAAAUUAAACAUUUUAGACAUAAAUUCAUGUCGUCUCUGCUCUCGGUUUUCUUAGUAGUUGAUUGCACCAAUAGUAUUUUGUACUCCACAAUGAAUCCAGAGUUGUAUAAAUUCAUAUUAUAUGGUGCUGAGAGCCGCAUCACAAAAUGCCUAUUUCUCAAUUUUUUUAUGGCAGAAGUGUACUUCAACGGAGAUAAACCCCCCUGUUGAGUUCCGUCAUUCUGAUGAAACCACAUCUCACCAAUUUGACAUCCAAGUUGAUUAAAUUAUUGCCUAAAAGAUCAAUUUUCAUGAAGCUUAAGGAAUGGUGAAAUACAAACUUAUUAAGUUGAAGGGCGAUGAAGAUCAUGUGGAGAUUAUUUUUUCGUAAGCUAAGUAAGGGUUCAAUGAAGUUAGAUGCGAAGAAUUCAAGAUUUGUCGACGACAUAAUUAAUAUGUUGAAACGUCAAAAUCUAGGAUGUAUGGUUUAGGUUUUAGAGAUUAUUUAGGGUUUAGGGUUUAAGGGUUUAGGUUUUAGAGAUUAUUUAGGGUUUAG